rnacentral:misc_RNA from 1 species
UUUCCGUAGGUGAACCUGCGGAAGGAUCAUUAAUGAAAGUAAAGGAGCGCUCUUUUUAGAGGCUUCGACCCUUUCUAUUCCACACACCCGCGCACUCGGGGGCGUCGAUGCCGGCUGACGAAGCCGUUUGCGGAGGCGCUUUCCGCCCUUUAUCAUGCUCCAUCUGUACCGAGGAUGUUGAUAAAUUAGAGAAACAAAUAAAACUUUCAACAACGGAUCUCUUGGCUCUCGCAUCGAUGAAGAACGCAGC